rnacentral:misc_RNA from 1 species
GAUGAAGAACGUAGCGAAAUGCGAUAAGUAAUGUGAAUUGCAGAAUUCAGUGAAUCAUCGAAUCUUUAAACGCACAUUGCGCCCGCCAGUAUUCUGGCGGGCAUGCCUGUUCGAGCGUCAUUUCAACCAUCAAGCCCCCGGCUUGUGUUGGGGACCUGCGGCUGCCGCAGGCCCUGAAAUGCAGUGGCGGGCUCGCUGUCACUCCGAGCGUAGUAGUUACAUCUCGCUCUGGGCGUGCUGCGGGUUCCGGCCGUUAAAAGCCUUAUUUACCCAAGGUUGACCUCGGAUCAGGUAGGAAGACCCGCUGAACUUAAGCAUAUCAAUAAGCGGAGGA